rnacentral:rRNA from 1 species
AAUGAACGUUGGCGGCGUGGAUUAGGCAUGCGAGUCGUGCGAGAACCGUAGCAAUACGGGGACAGCGGCGAAAGGGAGAGGAACACGUGGGUACCUACCCUCGGAUUCAGGAUAGCCAUGGGAAACUAUGGGUAAUACUGAAUAACGUCUCCGGACCAAAGGUGUGAUUCCGUCCGGGGAGGGGCCCGCGUCCUAUUAGCUAGUUGGCGAGGUAACGGCUCACCAAGGCGAAGAUGGGUACGAGAUGUGAGAGCAUAAUCUCGCUCACUGGGACUGAGACACUGCCCAGACACCUACGGGUGGCUGCAGUCGAGAAUCUUCGGCAAUGGGCGAAAGCCUGACCGAGCGACGCCGCGUGCGGGAUGAAGGCCCUCGGGUUGUAAACCGCUGUCGUAGGGGAGGAAGGCUCCGUGAAGAACGGGGUUUGACCUAUCCUAGGAGGAAGUACGGGCUAAGUUCGUGCCAGCAGCCGCCGCCGUAA